AGCAGAUUCUCGUUCUCACUACCUCACAUCGUCGGCUUUCGGCUCGGCGUAGUGGCCGUGUGUCCUCGUCAGCCACCUCACCAUCGAGCGCUGACACUGAUACCUCUACGCUCGGGUUCUCUCUGCUGUCGUAGUUGCCUCCCCCUCAGGUGUUGUCUUGCCUUCUCUCUUAGUUGUUGGUGGGUUCUUGGGAUUACAAGGCUCACUGAUGAGCGUUGAGCCGCUUGUUUUGCAAGGAAGUCUGCAUUCGCGUUGCUUGAGAUCCCAACGUGGGAAGGAACCCAAUUGAUGGAGAUUGUUCUUCCUGCAUGGUAAAUGGCCUUGGCUGUGGUAAUGAUGGAGUGUGUCAGGCUAAUGUUUUCAUUGUUUGGCUUGCACAAUGAGGCGAUGGCUGUCAUGGAGUCAGAGUUGAUGAGGAUGUCGAGGUUGUGGCAGGUGUGGGCGUGGUCUAUGGCCAGCUUGAUAGCAGCUAACUCUACUUGCGUGGAGGAGGAGUGAUCUGUUACUCAGGCAGCUGUGGCGGUGGCGGCGGCGGUGAUGGUGGCGGCGGCGUGGUUCUCGUCUCUGUCACUCACAGCACACACAAACGCUGCUCCCGACCGCCCUUGCUCAUCUACAGAUCCAUCGUGGGACAACAAUUGUUAUGAUAGGCGGCUUUUCCCAUGGAGGACUCAUUUGUGUGCUUGGCGGUACGGUAGCAUCUCUCGUGUCUUCCCAGGUGACAGUAUACUCGCUCAUCAGGGCCGCUGCCUUGCUGACUACUAUUUUUACUACUACUACUACUACUACUACUACUACUACUACUACCACCACGCUGAUCAGGCCCAGGUGUGGAACUACCUGAGAACAGCCAGGCUAUGUGGGGCACGGCCCGGGGAUUAUAAUAUAGUGGAUUCCUCGCACUACGCCGAUCCCCUUCUAAGCCGGACCAGGUGCAGUCAGGGUCUCUCAACCCUGGGUGCAGUGACCUGACACCAGCUGGACGGUGUGAGGUCACGGGCCGGAUGUUCAGCCGAGGUCCUCGGCUGAACAUCCUGCUGACUGGAGAGUCCUCGGCCCGAGGACUCUUCAGUCAGCAUCGAAACUCCGUGACAUACGCACCUCUCGACUCAUCUCCGCUCGCUUGUGUGUAAAAUAAUAAACAGCAGUAACGAACA